UCGAGAGGGUUCGGCCCUCGGCUGACUGCUCAGUAACACGUGGAUAACUUGCCCUCAGGUAGGGGAUAAUCUCGGGAAACUGAGGAUAAUACCCUAUAGACAUCCUUUGCUGGAAUGCUUGGAUGUUCAAAGGCAACGCCUGAGGAUAGGUCUGCGGCCUAUCAGGUUGUAGUGGGUGUAACGGACCCACUAGCCGACGACGGGUACGGGCCCUGAAAGGGGUAGCCCGGAGAUGGACUCUGAGACACGAGUCCAGGCCCUACGGGGCGCAGCAGGCGCGAAAACUUCGCAAUGCGGGAAACCGUGACGAGGGAAUCCCGAGUGCUCAUACAAUGUAUGGGCUUUUCUUAUGUGUAAAUAGCAUGAGGAAUAAGGGCUGGGUAAGACCGGUGCCAGCCGCCGCGGUAAUACCGGCAGCUCUAGUGGUAGCCACUUUUAUUGGGCCUAAAGCGUCCGUAGCCGGUCAGGUAAAUCCUUGGGUAAAUCGUACAGCUUAACUGUACGACUUCCGGGGAGACUGCCUGACUUGGGACCGGGAGAGGUUGGAGGUACUCCUGGGGUAGGGGUGAAAUCCUGUAAUCCUAGGUGGACCACCGGUGGCGAAGGCGUCCAACCAGAACGGCUCCGACGGUGAGGGACGAAGGCUAGGGGCGCAAACCGGAUUAGAUACCCGGGUAGUCCUAGCUGUAAACGCUGCAGACUUGGUGUUGGAGAUCCUACGAGGGUGUCCAGUGCCGGAGAGAAGUUGUUAAGUUUGCCGCCUGGGAAGUAUGGCCGCAAGGCUGAAACUUAAAGGAAUUGGCGGGGGAGCACCGCAACGGGAGGAGCGUGCGGUUUAAUUGGAUUCAACGCCG
rnacentral:rRNA from 1 species